ensembl:lncRNA
UGGUUUCCCGCACGCGAAGACACGCACAGUUCUAGUUUCUUCAUUCACAGAGGCCUGGAGAAGAAUAGACGGUCCAGGGCGGACUGGUAAACUAGCGCUGAGACCAGGGACAGGAAGUGAGCUACGCUGACAACACCUACUACGCGCUGGGUCUUGCGUUGGGCAUUAUCUUAUUUACUCCGAAAAGCGAUUGGGCGGCCUCACUAAUUCCCAUUGUAUGGUUGGGGAAAACUCAGAAAGUCACACUCAGGAAGUGACAGAGACGUGGCUUGAGCUGAGUCUGUGUGAUUUCACUGGCCCGUCAACUUUCAUCUUGAUCACAGAAUGUUCACUGUUCAACGGCAAAGAGGAAUAUUCGAGACUGACCACCUGUUCAAAGAAAAUCUAAGCGGCCUCUGCGGUUCACAUUAUAUUUACAUCGGAGAGCACCAGUGUCUAGGGGAGUGUAUUUGCGAAUUCUGGAUAAAAGGUGCCUUCUAACAUCCGCUCUGUCAAGCAGUCCUGCCUGUAACCGCGGGCGUGUGAGUGACUCGGAGAGUUUCAAAGAUGCCGCCGUGACACUGGCUGCUGCUGGCCUUUCUUCCGCACCCGCCCCUGGGCUGAGCCGGCUCCCACAACUCUUCAAUCUUCAGCCUCAGUCGGAGAGGAGAACCGAAAGGGAGGAGGAGGAGGAGGAGGAAGUGAGAGCAAACCAAAGAUGUGUUCCUCCUGUACCUGCCUCGGUUCUUAGUGGGGUGUGGGAUAGAUGGACGGGGACAAUAGGCAGAUUAACCGGGACAGAGGGGGGAUGCACCCUUGCAUCAAUUACUCAGUCAGCGAGAAAUCCCACCAAAUGAACUCUGGCUGCAGGUCAAAGCUGUUCUCCGAUUCCACGGUCAAAUUAGCCCUCGCCUGGGACUCCAUAAUGGGGACUGCAGGUGAGGUGAAUGAGCUCUCAGACACAGAUGCUUCAGGAACACGCCCCGAGGAACAGAGACAGGAACGGGAACAGGGCGCCGAGGCUGCCGUGGGUCCUGAGCGAGCAGUUUUAAGGAGCCCCCCCGCCCCCGACUCCCCGCGAAGCACAGCGCCCACCAGUGAGCCAGCCUGGUCCCGCUUUGACCUCCGGGAUCCGGGGCUUCUGAGGACAGAUCUAGAGCUCGUGAACUGGGAUACGAGGCCGUGCCUGGGUUCAGAAUUCUCCGGGAAGCCACAGGACUUCACCCUCGCUGCAGGAAAGACAACAGGCGUUUUUAAUGAUCUGGAAGCCAGGUCAGUUUCUGAUUUGCACACCUCAGAGCUUUUCAGUUAA